CUGAAAGUUUAUGACAGAAAAGAUGCACUUGUUAUAAAAGGUUGGGAACCCCUGGUUUGAAGGGAGGACUCUCUCUGAAGCUUUUACCAGUUCCUCAUACUGUUCUCACUGCCCCCCACCUUGUGAUCUUUAACCAAGACAGCUCUUAAACAUCUUUUUUUCCACUUCUAAAAAACCAAAGUUCAUUUGUAACAGCUAAACAUGCCACAAAUCUUUUGUAGAAUCUUGUAGUAUUCAGUCCUACAGAACAGUUCUUUUUUCCAUUUUGCUUCUUAAGCCCCAACAGUGACAGAAACCUAAAAACGGAAAGAGGGAGCUAGGCAAGAGAAGGAAGCAUGAGUUUGGUUAUGGCAAGAAUGAUGGCGAAGCAAGCGAUAGACUGACUUAUAUGACAGGACUGGGUAAUUUGGAACUCCACCAUCCACGGAGAACUGCAGCCAAAGAGAACCUUGAAGGAUUUCUAAAAAAGAUGAAUCAAUAGAAGCAUCAUAGCACAAAUGUAGCCUGCCUUUGCCUAGAUGUAAGCACUAAAAGCUCGCAGAGCUGAAUCUUCUCAAGUGGCUCAGCUGGGAUUUUCUGUUUCUUGAUGUUUGUCUUAGCUUAUCCUCAGUAGGAAGUUUUAUCUUUGCAUGUACACAAAUAAAUUGGAAUAUGUAACUGAGGUUUUUUUUAGACU